UUCAACUCCUCAAACAAUGUCAGAUCUCAAAAACAGUUUCAAACGAGAGCCUCUGGAACAGAAUCAUAAAACUGAGGUUGGAAGGAAUUCCUCUAGACAGUUGAGUCCAGCCUCCCUUGCUCCAAAUAGAGUUGAACAGACCAGGUUACUCAGGAUCAAAGGCUUUCCUUCAGAAAAAUGUUUGGUUUUCUGAAGAGAUUAAAAAGCAAUAAACUCCUACAAGGAAGGCCUUCAGCACUCCCUUGCAAACCAGGAAGCAAGAUCAGUACUUUGAUAGCAUCUGAGACAACCAUGCAUUUUAAAAAAGUUCCCCAACCAAACUGUAGUAAGAUCUACAAUAAAGAGGCAGCAGGCUUGAAAGAUGUCAUUAGCAAAAACACAAUCAAAUUCUACAAAGAAGCAUAAUUCCAGAUAUGUAACAACUGAAACCCAGAAGAAAAGCACAUGACACAGCAGUCAGGAGAUUUCACCUCCUGGCUGAAACUACACAUGCAGACUGUGGGGUAUCUGCACUUGAUCCAACCAAAGGGCACUAUAAACACAACUGUCUGGCCACAUAAAAUUUAAAAAUUCGUUCUCAACCAGCUAGGAGGAUGUGUUGUAAGUUCCUUUACCACUCAAAAUAUUUGUUAGCAGCAAACCAUUGCAACAGUUUCCUUCUUUUUUGGUCCUCGAGUUACCUGCUUCAAGAUCACUGAAGCAUGUGUUUGCACAACUGUGAACAGCUCUAGGAACAAAGAAUUUCAAUUCUUCCCCCACCAAACUUACCAGCUUCACACACUAGUGCCUCAUAGUAGUACUUGAGCUAUCAACAGUUAAUUAAUUGGACCACUUGAAGCAAACCUGCAUUACCUCUUUCUGAAAGCUCAUCAGUGUAGUGAGGCUGAGCCUGACAACCCCGUGCAAACCCAGGCCACGGGAGGCUCGGCCAACACGUGUUAUUAAGCAGCUCACACCAGCCCCAAGUCCUCAUUGCUUUAAUUUCCAUUUGGCAGUGAGCAGCCAGUUAAUGUUUACACAGCAAUGUAACCCUAUAUGACAGUGCUACUUCUAAUUAAGAUGGGUGUUCUGGAGGAACACAGUCGUGACUGUACCAAAGGUACAAGUGUGCGUGUCCGUGUGUAUAUCUAUCUAUAUAUAUAUAUAUAUAUAUGUGCACACAUACACACAAAACCAGAAUCUGGACUACAGCACAGUUCUGUGUUAGCAGCUUGAAUAAUGUUUAGAAAAAGUGCUGUAGGCACACAUUUUAAAUUUAAUGCAUCUGUUCUUGCAGUGACUGCCUGGGAUCACUCCAGAACAAACCUAGCUCCAUCGCCAGCCUCCCCGAGCCUGAGCUUACAUAAUGCUGCACAGCAGACCCAGGCAGGGAUGCUGCCUUACCGGGGGAGCCCCAGCAAGGAUAUUCCCCUCCUAUUACCCAAACGUGCUCCUAACAAGACUUUCAGUUAUUGCUGAGGGUCUGAAACAAGUAGAAUGAAGGUAAACUACUGCCUUAUCAUUGACAACACAUCAGAAUUUCGUCCACAAAUUUCUUUUUUUUUUUACACCACUGAACUCAGUUUCCUAGAAACUAGGAAAAAAAAAAAAAACAAAACUAAUUUUUAGUAAGCUGCAGUACAGCUCCGGCAGAUGACAGUCCCUAGGCAGCAGCACCACUGGGUGACUAAGCAAACCAGUCCUAAAAGCUUUAUUUGACAACAACACAACAGGCUGGCGGCCGAGCUCAAGCCAAACCUGAAUUACAGCAGUAAUUUACUCGUCUAAGCCUGAAACGCCGAGCUCAGCCACCUACAGCUGCGCCUCCCAUCGCCAUUCCGGAUGGAUGCCCGCUGCUUCCCCCUCGCCUCCCGCGUCAGCGCCGGUAACCAGGAGCCAGGUGGAUCCAGGUCACCUCUGUGGUCCCUUCCAGCCUGGAUUACCGUCUGCUUCUGUAAUGUGUGCUCCCCUGGAACUCUUCCUAACAGCUGAGUGAACAGCCAGGUGAUGCUUGGCAGCAGACUUGGACACUAACAGAAGUUCCUCAGAGAUCCUGCUGUUGAUAACGACAUAAGCUCUUUGUUCGCUAUUGAAUGGGACCUAAUUUUCAUUUUUAAUUUAUAUGUAUCUUGUAUAGAGUGUGAAGCCUCCAGACUACAUCUAACAUUACUUUUAUUGUACCAGCAUCACAUUUACCUCUUUCUUCCAUAAUCACACCGUCUCAUAUUCCAGUGCUGAGAACCAAAUUCAGUGCACUAAAAAACACUGCCUUUAUUUUCCUUAAAUUAUUAUUUUUUAUUUAUAUUAAAACCUCUUGGUUUAGAGAAUCAGACAAUAAGAGAAAGUGGCCAGUGAAAAACCUGUCUACAAAUUCUAAAUUCCCUUUCCCAGUGUUGCCAAAGACCAAGGUUUCUGAUUUGGCUUUUGACCAGCAAGCACAAGCUCACAGACUGCAAAUCAGGCUCAGCAAAGGGGGGGAUGGGAUUUGCUCUCAACACAAGACAAAUCUAAUGGAAUCUAGGAAAAGGCAGAAAGCUAAAUUCCAUGCUUAAUUAUAGUUGUGGAUAAAUUUAAUUCAAAAUUAUACUGCUGAUUAUACUUGGUACAGCUCUCUACAGCUUUCCAAAAAAGAAAAUUCCAUCCUCAGUGAACUUUGAAUUCUACUGUUGAAUUAGAAGUUUGGGAAAGUUAAAACAGCAAAAACACCCCACACCCCCAAAAGAGACAGAUGGCUGUGACAGAUAUGCCAUAAUCACACACAGCACCUCCCACUGUGCCCUACAUAUCGUACAACCAACCUGCCCAGCCACUCCAGAUGCUUCCCGUUAUCUGCUGUGGAAAAGCAGCUGCUGCAGCGGCGAUAGCCCAGCUCCUGUGAGUCAGUCAGUAUUCAUGGCACAAACCCCCAAACCUGGCUGAAGCUGUGAGGCAAAAACAAGAUUGCUUAAAAAAGGGGUGGCCCAACUUCAGUUGUUCUGCACACAGGUAACGAUUGCACUGCAAGUAAUCCUAAAGCUGAGCAUUGCUCCCCUGAGUGCAGACAAUCACACCAGUAUCAGCCACGGGUAAAUUACAGUUAAGGGCCUUUGACCACUGAGAACAUGGAGGAGGAAGGGAGCAGCUUAACACCAAAUACCUGAAAAGAUUGGAGCAACUGAGCUUGAUUUAAUGCUUAAUCAGAUCCAGAAGAGCCCUGACCUACAUAUUCACAGCAUCCCUGGGCUGCAGGCACAGCCAGUUGAGCAGCCAUGCAGCCGCAGGGGAAGAGAGUUUAACGUGCUGAACGUGAGGGAGCAGCCUCCUGGACACAGCCCUGCAUCUGCUUCACAGCCUCAUGUUCCCUUCUUGGAUGUUUCUUUCAGGCAAAAAUUAAUGUGCCCUCCACUCUUCAGAGCACCUCACAUUUCACUUUGGCAGAGAAACACAAUUUUUUUUAGCUGCUGGUGGUGAUUUAGAGACUAUGGAGAUAACACAGUGGUUAUUUUUCAAUACAAAUGUGAUCUGGCAUUGUCAAAAUCUAAUGACAAUCAGGCUUGAAAGAGCUCAGCUUUGCUCCAUCGACAAGUUGGAAAAAUCCACAGGAAAAAAUCCACAGAACUCAUCCUGAAUUCACUUAAGGAGAGCAAGCCAGAGAGAGAGCCAGAUAUGACCAUGUAAUCUGAAAAAUAACCUAAUCUACAUGUAGGGGAGAAUGAGACUUGCUGCAAAAAUCAUCCUGUUUUUUUUCAGGAUUAAAAAAGAUGAAGACCAUUUUUUAAAACAAGCAGCCACAUAAAGUUUGAAAAUAAUUGAACUGACAGGUUCCAUGUAAAACCAGAAAACAUCAGAAUUAUUCAUGUGAGAGAGAUGGUAGAAGGACACUGCCAAGCUCAAAGGCCUGGGCCACUGUUUUUUAAAGUGUUCUUGGAACAAUGCAGCAGCAGAAGAGCAAAAUUCUUGUUCUCAGUACAAGUCUAAAAAAGCUAAUUAUAUAAAAAGCUAAUUAUUGCAUUUCUACUUCAUCAAAAUUUGUAUUGAAGCAGCAUCCUUGAGACAGUGUCACUUUUCAUAGAAGUUGUACCCCAGCAAUGAAAAAUGGUGGGUGGCAGAGCCCAGCACUUGGGUGAGAGUCCAGGUCAGAGAAUCAGAGAAUCCUAGAAUGGUUUGGGUUGGCAGGGACCUUAGAGCUCCUCCAGUUCCAACCCUCUGCUGUGGACUAGACCAGAUUGCUCAAGGUCCCAUCCAACCUGGCCUUGAACACUUCAGAGAUGGGGCAGCCACAGCUUCUCUGGGCAACCUGUGCCAGGGCCUCACCACACUCAAAGGCAAGAAUUUCUUCCCAACAUCCAAUCUAGUCCUGCCCUCUCUCAGUUUAAAGCCAUUCCCCCUUGUCCUGUCACUCCAGGUCCCUGUCCCAAGGCCUCCUCCAGUUCUUUUGUAGCCCUUUUAGGCAUGGGACUGAGGCCAGGGAGGCCUCUCAGAUCUCCCUGGAGCCUUCUCUUCUCCAGAUGAGCACCACCAGCUCUCCCAGCCUGGCUCCAGAGCAGAGGGGCUCCAGCCCUCAGAACAUCUCCAGGGCCUCCUCUGGUAUUGCAGGUCCAUGUUCUUCCAAUGUUGGGGAUCCCAGAGCUAGACACAGCAUGGCAGGUGGGGAUUCUGGAAGCAGAGUAGACACCAAUGGACUGACAAGACCCAAUAACCAAAUCCUGUCAAGCACACACCAAGUGAGAUUUUUUUAAUCAGCUUCUAUUCCUUCAUCUAACAGCACUCCCAUUCCCCUUAUAUAACAAUGGGGAUUCGAGAUACUUUAAAAAACUGAAGAUGAAGAGGAGGAAGACUGAAAAUAGAAAUACCUACCUCAAACCUAUUUGCAGCACCUGUUUCCUAAUCUCACCCUCACUCCACCUCCCCAUAUUUAAACAGUGAUUUUUGUACCAGUUCUGCCCUGGCAUCCUCUGAAAUCAUCUGGAGCACUCUGGAGGAGCCAAGCCCGGAUCCUCUGGCUGCCGAGGGUGAGGGGUCACUACCUGCAGCCACGUUGGAAGCAGUGCAUGUCAGCCUUGCCGGCAGCAGAGCGGCUCCCGGCCCUGGCGGGUCACGACACGCCGGUGCCGCCAAGCGGGGCAGUGCCACGCGGUGGCGCCGGGGCUCGCACCUAGGGACGGGAGAGCCAGCGAGCUCAGCCCCGGAGAGAUGCGCUCCCGGGCAUUCCCGGGAAAAUGGAAAGCGCAGAUUUUCUGUAGGUGGCCUUGAGAACGACCUUCAGUGGUACCGUAUAAAACUGUAAAAAUCCUUGAUAUAAACACAAGGGGAAGGGAACUGGGUUAGCUUUACAGGGCUGUCUGGCUGUCUGGUCUCCAACGCCGGAGCCGUUCAAAAUCCAAAAAGCAGAUUCUGGGCUGGUUCUGACGCCACAGAUGAGUGAGCAGUUGCUUUGAGGUUUCAAAGUCCAUGGGAAUAAAUACAGUGUGUUUCAGAAGUCAGCAUUUUUAAAUGCAUUCAAAGCAUUUUAAAAAGAGAUUCCAGGGGAGAAAGGGACAGUCCAAUAACAUUUCGAGAUGGCUGAGCUAAAGCUGGAUAAACUCAUGACCAGACAAACAGAACCCAUCACCAGCCUUUCUCUCUCCCAGGAAGCUGUGGCAUCCCCUCCCCUGGGCAUUGUCCCUGCUCCAGCAGCAGCCGGCUGUGUUCCUCUUCCCCGAGGACAAACACAGCAGUGGAAAAGGAGCAGAGCUGCCUGAAAAGUGGGUCAAGCGUGGCAUGAAACACCCACCAUAGAAUACUCCCAGGCAGGGCUUCUCCAGCCGUGUGCUCCCCCACCAGCACCCCCCCCCCAUUUUCUUUAUAAAAUAAAGAAGCAGAAUAGAGCAGCCAUCGCUGCCAACUCCUGCACUGAUGGCCACGAUAAAGGUUUUUCACAGCAAGCUUUAGGGUUAGGCUGGCUGUAAGGGGGUGUUUUCUCAAACUCCUGAAAAAUAAAGACAUUUGGGAGCCAGGCUAAAGCCCUUCAGCCCAAUCGAUCAUGCAAUUAUCAAUGUAAACAGGACUCUCCUCUUUUACAGUUCAGCACUUUCGGUUUUAAAUGCAUAAUCUGGAAAACAGUUUAUAGAUUUAUUGAAAUUAAAAAACAAACCCAACUAAAGCAACAUAAACAAACCAAAAGAACUUCAUCUCAAAAAUCCCAGAUGUAUUUGGGGGAAAUCUACUGAGGAAGAUGUAUACAGAAGUCAAGAGACCAAAAGCAAAGAUUUAGUUUCAUUUAUAAUAGCUGCAAAAUGGAGAAUGUUCUCCUCAAAAUCACUUUCCUGCAAGUUCUCAUGUAGGAUGCUCAUCCUGAUCACACUGCUCCUCCUCUAAUUAGCAGUCCCAGGUUCUAUUAGCAACUAAUGUUUUAUACAUUAUUUAUACCAGCAGCAAUCAUUUUAGUCUCCAUCCCAAAGUUCUGUUCGCCAAAGAGUAAUUAAAGAGAUCAGUAGUCCAACUCAUCUUAAAAGACUAAAGCUUUUAAGCUCCAGCACAAGUUUUAAAAGGCAAAAAACUUGCAGCACUGCUUAAUUUAAACCAAAAGUGUUGUUUCAGCCUUUUUCCCUGUCCAUAUGCCAAAGCACUCUGGUCCCUUGCUCAAGAAUGCAGCCUGCCUUUAUUCCCAUCCAGAAGGAGUAAAGCCAAAUGAAUUAGAGCACCAAAAUAACUUUCUGUAAAACCACAGAAGGCUGACUCAUGAACUGCUGACUCAGCAGGGCUUUGUUGGUGUGUUCGUGGGUACUGAAAGAUUUCUACGCAGUCCAGUGUGAUUCUCACUUAACACUUAACCUGUUUCCAGCCUUCUCCCAGAACUUGCAGAACACCAAUACUCUGUGUCAUGACUGCCAUAGAACACAGAAGGCACCCAAUGCCUUCUACAAGGCUUCAGAAAUCUCUGCUUGCAGACAUUUUGCUCCAAAAAUCCAAGCUCAUACGAACCAUGAGUAUUGUUGCAAGAAAAAUGGAACACAUAAGCCAUUUCUCAGGCAAAAUUUGCUCUAACCUACACACCAACCCUUAAAAUACAUUAAGAGUUUCCAGGAGUGCUCUGCAUCCAGACAAAAUAAGCUGCAAUUAAAGCAAUAAGUGUGGAACAGGUGUAUAGUGGAGGCACACCUUCAACUCACUGAAUUUGGAGCAACAUUUAAUUUGAAAUUCAAAACUGUGAUCACACUUACAUCUUACAACCAUUUUUCCUGAAUGAGUAUGAGUACUUAUUCUUCACCCCGCCUCCCAAGGUCACAGCUCCUCCAAGAGCAGGAACUGCACUCCAGUAUUGCUAAGGAAAAGAAUGUGUUUAUUGAACUAAGAAAGAAGGCCCAAAAUUAACUCAGCACUAUCAUAGUGGUUUGGUUUUAUCUUGUACAGGAGGAAAUCCUUUACGAGUCUGGAUAAAUUUUUUAAUUGUCAGAGCAAGGACUUGUCCCAAGGUCCUUGAAACAAAAUUGCUUUCUAAAGAGGACCCAGUGCUUCAGUUUACUACUUUAAAAAUCAAAAAAAUUCCCACGGAACAUGGAUAAGAAGGUACUGGCACCUCUCAGCAGUUUUUUUCUGUUACUAGAGGAGCUUUUUACAGGAACUGGACCAAGACAGAGGCAGGUGAAAUGACACAGCUACCAUUGGCAGGAUGUCCCCUCACCGCCUUUUUCACAGGGCAGAAUUUGUUCUGUCACCAUCCAGACAUAUGGGGAAGGAGGCAACACUCUCUCCGCACUCUCCCACAUCCCGUAUCCUGCCAGGGUAUGAUCAGAAGACCUAAACGAGGUAACAUUGCCCAGGCACGUGGGACAGGGAUACUGAGUGCGUACAGCAGCAUCAGCAGCUAAAACAAUCAAAAUGAGGUGAGAGUCACACACAUUGGUUACCUUGGACAAACAUUCACCUACAGCAGCAGCUUGGGCAGCAAUGGAGCAGGGACUGGGGAAGCAGCCGGCCCCAAGCUCCAGGGAUCUGUGAAGGGGGGCCAUAAGUAGACGAACAAAGCACAGAGUAUAAAUAGGCAGAAGAAAGGUGUAGAAAGAGGGUGAAGGGGGGGAAAUUUGCAAAUCUAUACAUUUCUGUAUGUACAGAAUACACAUUUUGUCUCUUGUUUUUGAUUUCAUAAGCCCUUAGUUUAGGACAGGCCUG